AUCCAGCUGACGAGUCCCAAAUAGGACGAAAAGUGCAUUCUGUAU
rnacentral:hammerhead_ribozyme from 1 species